GGCGCCGUGCCAUGGCUUAGUUGGUUAAAGCGCCUGUCUUGUAAACAGGACAUCGUGAGUUCGAAUCUCACCAGUGCCU
rnacentral:tRNA from 1 species